ensembl:lncRNA novel transcript
CAUUCUUGUAACCCAGGCUGGAGUGCGGUGGCGUGAUCUCCGCUCACUGCAACCUCUGCCUACUGGGUUCAAGCGAUUCUCCUGCCUGAUUCUCCCAAGUAGCUGGGAUUACAGGUGCUCACUACCAUGUUGGCUAAUUUUUUGUAUUUUUAGUAGAGAUGGGGCUUUACCAUGUUGGUCAGGCUGGUCUUGAACUCCUGACCUCAAGUGAUCCGCCCACCUCGGCCUCCCAAAAUGCUGAGAUUACAGGUGUGAGCCACCGUGCCCAGUCUAAGGCACACAAUUUGCAAAGGAAAUUGAGGCUCUCGCACAAAUCCAGUCCACCCUGUACUUACACCCAACAUGCAGGAGGUGUUGACUCUCAUCCCUUGACUCAGGACAUGUGUGUAAUUGUUAAUGUCAUCGCAAGGCCUUUUGACAAGUGUAAUUGUGACAUAUACCUUGGCCUAGCAUCUGAGUUAUUUGUUGUUUCCUGGGUCCAGCUCACAGUGCCAUAUCACUGGAUCCAGACCCUUGGUAAUGUGAUUCUAUUCUGCCUUGAUACAGCCCACAGGGGUCAUUGUGACAUCGCUGGGCAUUGCACCUAGGUGAUUUGAGUCUCCUCUUCUGCCUUGGUGCUGCCCACAGGUGUAUUGUGACAUAUUGCUGGGCGUAUGUUAUGUGACUCUUGCUUGUGCCCUAAACACAUAGGCCAUUGUAACAUUGCUGAGUGCAACACCCAGGUGAUGUAACGCUUCACCCUGGACCUGUCUACAGAGGGCAUUGUAAUAUAUGUCUUCACCAAUCACCCAGGAAAUGUGACUUUUUAUUCCUCCCUGUUCUGUACUCACAGGGGGUAUUGGGACAUAUUGGGCCCAGCACCUAGCUGAUGUGACUUUUCUUUAUUCUAGGUUCUGACAACAAAGGAGAUUGUGACAUAUUGCUGGGCCUAACACUAAGGUGAUGUUAGUUAUUUGCUUUGGCUGUGCCCUUGGAAGGCAUUGAGACAUACUGCUGUGCCCAGCACCAAGAUGAUGUAACGUGACUCUUCUGCUUCAGGCCUGCCAAAAGAAAAGAUUGUGACAGAUCACUGGACCCAGCACCUAGGUGAUAUGACUCUCCUCAUUUGCCUGAGACCUGCAUAUUUUAGACAUUGUGAUAUACAACUGGAACAAACACCUAGGGGUUGGAAGGCUCCUGCCUGAGUCCCUCCCACAGGAGGCCUUGUGAUGUUUUUUUGUUUGUUUUUUGUUUUCUUUGAGAUGGAGUUUUGUUAUUGUUGCCCAGACUGGCAUGCGGUGGCGCAACCUUGGCUCACCGCAACCUCCGCCUCCCGGGUUCAAGCAGUUCUCCUGCCUCAACCUCCCGAGUAGCUGGGAUUACAGGCAUCUGCCACCAUGCCCGGCUAAUUUUCUAUUUUUAAUAGAGACGGGGUUUCUCCAUGUUGGUCAGGCUGGUCUCAAACUCCUGAAAUCAGGUGAUCCACCUGCCUUGGCCUCCCAAAAUGCUGGGAUUACAGUUGUGAGCCACUGCACCCAGCUUUGUGAUGUAUUUCUGCAUCCAUCAUGCAGGAGAUAAAACUCUGUAUUUUUGCCUGCAUUCUGCCCACAGGGAAGAUUUUGACAUAUUGUUGGGCCCAGCAACCAGUCGUUUUGUCUGUCAUAUCUGGGCCCAGCACCCAAGGGAUCUCACUCUUCUACCUGUGCCCUGCUUUCAGGAGGGAUUGUAACAUCCCUGGUCAAGCCCCCAGUGAUGUGAUUCUCCUGUUUGAUGCCUGCCCUCAGGGAGGAUUGUGACAUAGCCCUGGCCCAACACACAGUUCAUGUAACUCUUGAAUUUGCUCUUUACAUACAGGUAGGAUUGUGACAUAUAUCUGGCCAAGCGUACAGAUGUAAUGAUGACUGUCAUACCUUGAAGAAGCCAAUAGCAGAGAGAAUGUUGCUCUCAGGCUUAGGAAAAUGAGGAAGUCUUUCUGUACAAAAGUCAUAAAGAAUUACUACUCUCUCACAU